GAGCCAAGAAAUAGACCCAUAUAAAUAUAGUCCACUGAUAUUUGACAUAGGAGCAAAGGAAAUACAAUGGAACAAAGAUAGUCUUUUGAACAAAUAGUGCUGGAACAACUGGACAUCCACAUG